CUUUAGAUAAAAAGGGGUGAUUUCCCAGUGCUUCCCUUGACUCUUGGAACCCCUCAGCCCCAGCACCCCAGGCCCCAUAACUACUGGGGGUGGGGGCAGGAAGGGGAGGUCUUGCCAGAGGGCCUCCUGAGGGGCUACAGUUUCCUACAUCGAUACAGCCGAGCCCUCUCUGGUUCUGGUCACUUAUCCCCAUUCUGGGCCCUCGAGGAGCCCAGGCCCAGCCCAGUCCUCCGCCCCUGCUCCCCCCUCCCCUCCGCCCCCACCCCUCCCGCGUGCUCCGCUGGGGCACACCCCCUGGGCCAGCCCGCGGAGCCACCCCCACCUCCAGAGUCGGCCUCUGGACCUCUCCUCCUGCUGCUGGAGGAGCAGCACCCCGGUCCUCGCCCUGCUGUGUUCAGCGUGGCCGCGAGGCUGGGAAAGUCCCCCACUCCAGCCUCUGCUCCCAGGUACCCGCUCCCGCCCCUCCCGGGGUCCGGAGACAACCAUCUCCCCACGCAUCCCGGCCAUGCUAGCCUCACUUUUCCUCCACGUUUAGCCUCUUCAUUGUUGCCUUCUUAAGUUCUGGGACAGGACCUGAGGAAACCAGCCCAGGAACUAUUGCGCCCCAUCCUUUUCCGCUGCUCGGGGGACGAGAGUCUGCCAUUCCCGGCCGCGAGCCCAGGGACGCAGCCUCUACCUGACACCAUCUUCCCCCAAACUCUUGCACAGUUCCUGCCAUUGGCCUGAAGAUCCCGGGGGAUGAACGCUUUAACCUCAACCUCUUUUCCGAAAGGGUGAGGGUGGCCCGGAUUAAUGCCCAGGGCGCCACAGCUGGGCCUUCCUCCCCAUUUCUUACUAACACCGGCUCAGAGCUUUUUGGGGUGUGACCUGGAAGUCCCCCAUUCAGCCAGCACUGUUACAUGGACACCUCUACACUCGGAGUCUCCACCUUUCCCAAUCCAUGGCUCUGUCUUCACAUGGCCUG
rnacentral:lncRNA from 1 species